CGUUCUUGUGAUCGUUCGGAUGAGGGUACUUUCAGACUUGCGGCAGAUGAUUCCGGCAGGCAGUUCCGUUACCGGAACUGCCUGCUGGAUCCGGCAA